GAUGAACGCUGGCGGCGUGCCUAAUACAUGCAAGUCGAGCGAACAGACGAGGAGCUUGCUCCUCUGACGUUAGCGGCGGCCGGGUGAGUAACACGUGGAUAACCUACCUAUAAGACUGGGAUAACUUCGGGGAACCGGUGCUAAUACCGGAUAAUAUAUUGAACCGCAUGGUUCAAUAGUCAAAGACCGUUUUGCUGUCACUUAUAGAUGGAUCCGCGCCGCAUUAGCUAGUUGGUAAGGUACCGGCUUACCAAGGCAACGAUGCGUAGCCGACCGGAGAGGGUGAUCGGCCACACUGGAACUGAGACACGGUCCAGACUCCUACGGGAGGCAGCAGUAGGGAAUCUUCCGCAAUGGGCGAAAGCCUGACGGAGCAACGCCGCGUGAGUGAUGAAGGUCUUCGGAUCGUAAAGCUCUGUUAUUAGGGAAGAACAAAUGUGUAAGUAACUAUGCACGUCCUGACGGUACCUAAUCAGAAAGCCACGGCUAACUACGUG
rnacentral:rRNA from 1 species